rnacentral:rRNA from 1 species
GAUCAUGGCUCAGAACGAACGCUGGCGGCAGGCCUAACACAUGCAAGUCGAACGCCCCGCAAGGGGAGUGGCAGACGGGUGAGUAACACGUGGGAACCUUCCCUAUAGUACGGAAUAGCCCAGGGAAACUUGGAGUAAUACCGUAUACGCCCGAAAGGGGAAAGAAUUUCGCUAUAGGAUGGGCCCGCGUAGGAUUAGCUAGUUGGUGAGGUAAUGGCUCACCAAGGCGACGAUCCUUAGCUGGUUUGAGAGAACGACCAGCCACACUGGGACUGAGACACGGCCCAGACUCCUACGGGAGGCAGCAGUGGGGAAUAUUGGACAAUGGGCGCAAGCCUGAAUCCAGCCAUGCCGCGUGAGUGAUGAAGGCCUUAGGGUUGUAAAGCUCUUUUGCCGGGGACGAUAAUGACGGUACCCGGAGAAUAAGUCCCGGCUAACUUCGUGCCAGCCGCUGC